UACGUAGGGUGCGAGCGUUAAUCGGAAUUACUGGGCGUAAAGCGUGCGCAGGCGGUGAGCUGUGUCCGAUGUGAAAGCCCCGGGCUUAACCUGGGAAUGGCAUUGGAAACUGGCUCGCUGGAGUGUGGCAGAGGGGGGUGGAAUUCCUGGUGUAGCAGUGAAAUGCGUAGAUAUCAGGAGGAAUACCGAUGGCGAAGGCAGGUCUCUGGGCUAUAACUGACGCUCAUGCACGAAAGCGUGGGGAGCAAACAGG
rnacentral:rRNA from 1 species